GGGGACGAUCGGUCUCGACGGAAAGCUCUUUACAAUACUGCAAGCCAAGUUUGAUCAACACUUGUCAAAAGAGGUCAAAAAACAAAAGCUAACUUUAACAAGUCAGCUUCAGCUAACUACGCAUUAGCGUACGCUUAACUGACGUCCUUAGAUUUGAUUCUCGGUUGAAUCAAAAGGGUGUAAACCAAUCCGGGAUGCCACUCAAAUUUUUAACUAGAGAUUUGAAUGAAAGAAUUUUAGUUUUACUUUAAACCGUCCUGUUAGCUGGUUAGGUUUAGAGGACAUAAAAUAAACUAAAUAAGCUUGUAGAAGUGUUGUUUUAAGUAUUUUCGGACGCGGGUUCGAUUCCCGCCGUCUCCACAA
rfam:Microgenomates (Woesebacteria) bacterium GW2011_GWD2_40_19 TT88_C0037, whole genome shotgun sequence.